GGGGAAAGAUUUAUCGGAGAAGGAUCGGCCCGCGUUAGAUUAGAUAGUUGGUGGGGUAAUGGCCUACCAAGUCUACGAUCUAUAGCUGGUUUUAGAGGAUGAUCAGCAACACUGGGACUGAGACACGGCCCAGACUCCUACGGGAGGCAGCAGUGGGGAAUCUUGGACAAUGGGCGCAAGCCUGAUCCAGCCAUGCCGCGUGAGUGAUGAAGGCCUUAGGGUCGUAAAGCUCUUUCGCCAGGGAUGAUAAUGACAGUACCUGGUAAAGAAACCCCGGCUAACUCCGUGCCAGCAGCCGCGGUAAUACGGAGGGGGUUAGCGUUGUUCGGAAUUACUGGGCGUAAAGCGUACGUAGGCGG
rnacentral:rRNA from 13 species